rnacentral:rRNA from 1 species
UGAUCUGCCCUGCACUUUGGGAUAAGCCUGGGAAACUGGGUCUAAUACCGAAUAGGACUACGGGGUUCAUGCCUUGUGGUGGAAAGCUUUUGCGGUGUGGGAUGGGCCCGCGGCCUAUCAGCUUGUUGGUGGGGUAAUGGCCUACCAAGGCGACGACGGGUAGCCGGCCUGAGAGGGUGACCGGCCACACUGGGACUGAGAUACGGCCCAGACUCCUACGGGAGGCAGCAGUGGGGAAUAUUGCACAAUGGGCGCAAGCCUGAUGCAGCGACGCCGCGUGAGGGAUGACGGCCUUCGGGUUGUAAACCUCUUUCAAUAGGGACGAAGCGCGAGUGACGGUACCUAUAGAAGAAGCACCGGCCAACUACGUGCCAGCAGCCGCGGUAAUACGUAGGGUGCGAGCGUUGUCCGGAAUUACUGGGCGUAAAGAGCUCGUAGGUGGUUUGUCGCGUUGUUCGUGAAAACUCACAACUCAAUUGUGGGCGUGCGGGCGAUACGGGCAGACUAGAGUACUGCAGGGGAGACUGGAAUUCCUGGUGUAGCGGUGGAAUGCGCAGAUAUCAGGAGGAACACCGGUGGCGAAGGCGGGUCUCUGGGCAGUAACUGACGCUGA